GGAAUGACUUCGCCGACUUUGAGAAAAUCUUUGUCAAGAUCAGCAACACUAUUUCUGAGCGGGUCAUGAAUCACUGGCAGGAAGACCUGAUGUUUGGCUACCAGUUCCUGAAUGGCUGCAACCCUGUGUUGAUCCGGCGCUGCACAGAGCUGCCCGAGAAGCUCCCGGUGACCACGGAGAUGGUAGAGUGCAGCCUGGAGCGGCAGCUCAGCUUGGAGCAGGAGGUCCAGUCAAGCAGGUUUCAGACACCACAAAUGCCGAAUGAGCUGCUGCCAUUCCUUCAUCUUACCCCGAACUGCCACAACCUGUGAACACCUUCCAUGUGAAUCAAUCAGCCUUGGAGUCAGAGGAGAGAA
rnacentral:misc_RNA from 1 species